UGGCACUCACAGCCUCACUGAGUACAUUUUCUCCACCUAAGUGAGUCCACAUGUUAAUUUACUCAUCGGGGAGCAGCCAGCACAAAGCCUGUCCCCCCCAGUGAUAUGAACACCCUGGCCAGGCACAUGCAGCCAGCAGUGCAUCCUCACUGGGACCAUAUCCAUGGCUCCUGUGCUCUGCGACUCUGCUCCUGCCUGGGUAAGGCUUCUGUCCCCACAAAGACCACCACUGUUCUGCUUUUCUCCCACUCUGGAUUGCUUUUCAUUCUGCUAUUGGUGGAAUCCUGGGAUAUUUCCAGUUUGGGGAUACUAUGAAUGAAGCUGCUAUGAACAUCCUUAUACGAAUCUUCUGGUGAAGUCAUCAUAGAAUUUGGAGACCAAGUUUUUGCCAUCAUUUAUUCGGAGCCUAAAGGACCAGACGAAAAACCUGCCCAGGGUCACACAAGACUGAGAAGCCCAGUAAAGCACUCUCUGACGUCAGCGACUCAGGUCCUUUGGUCCUGUGCCUGGCUUGGACAGAGUCAGGCUUGUUCAACACUCUCUCCCCAUCACCUCAGGUUCCCCAUAUCCCAUUUACAACAUCAGGAUUAGCUCCCAGGCUUCUGUGGGGUGAAGAAUGGGGACUGGUUUUCCUGUUUCACUUUUAGCCUGGGCUUAGGCUAUGAGCAGGUCAGAAAGGGGCAAUGAGGCUGGUUGCAGUGGCUCAUGCCUGUAAUCCCAGCACUUUGGGAGGCCAAGGCGGGUGGAUCACCUGAGGUCAGGAGUUCAAGACCAGCCUGGCCAACAUGGCAAAACCCCAUUUCUACUAAAAUACAAAAAUUAGCUGGGGGUGGUGGUGCAUCUCUCUAAUCCCAGCUAUUGGGAGGCUG
rnacentral:lncRNA from 1 species